CCUACGGGGGGCAGCAGUGGGGAAUAUUGGACAAUGGGGGGAACCCUGAUCCAGCCAUGCCGCGUGUGUGAAGAAGGCCCUCGGGUUGUAAAGCACUUUCAGUGAGGAAGAACGCCUGGUGGUUAAUACCCAUCAGGAAAGACAUCACUCACAGAAGAAGCACCGGCUAACUCCGUGCCAGCAGCCGCGGUAAUACGGAGGGUGCGAGCGUUAAUCGGAAUUACUGGGCGUAAAGCGCGCGUAGGUGGCUUGAUAAGCCGGUUGUGAAAGCCCAGGGCUCAACCUGGGAACGGCAUCCGGAACUGUCAAGCUAGAGUGCAGGAGAGGAAGGUAGAAUUCCCGGUGUAGCGGUGAAAUGCGUAGAGAUCGGGAGGAAUACCAGUGGCGAAGGCGGCCUUCUGGACUGACACUGACACUGAGGUGCGCAAGCGUGGGUAGCAAACAGGAUUAGAUACCCUUGUAGUC
rnacentral:rRNA from 1 species